UUGUGUAUUAUUAAUAUUUUCGUCAACCAUAAAACCAAAAAGAAAAAGAUGGAUGCACGUGCAAAUUCUAAAGAGCCAAAAGAGAGAAUUGAUAAAUUUAUUAUUGUUGCUUGCUUCCGUGGAUUGACAAGAUUCCAUUCCAAAACUAAUCCGUAUACAAGUUUUCGUUAUGAUUUUGGUUUCAACAAUGUUUUCAUAUCAUAACUUUAUAAUAGAAAGGUAGGUAGUAAUAAAGGAAAAAGGUACUCAAGGUAAAAAAGGAAAUGGUGUCUCUAACUUGCAAACAAAAACAAUAUCAAUGCCAUAGUGAUCAUUGUUUCAAGAUAUAUCAAGGUAAAGUUUGACUUUAAAGGAUGCAUCUUCUCAUAUUUAAAUGAGUAAAGUUUGAGUUUUCCCACUAUUUAAAAAGAGAGUGAAAAUUAUGGAUUUGAAUUCCACUCAGAUAUAUCUCUAGAUCAUCAGAUUAAGAUCUGAGAGUUCAUAUAAGUCGACCACAAUAUUGUACUCAUUAUUUUUUGACUCUAUUCAUCAAUCCGUAUGCAAGAUAUGGUUCAUUCAUUUUUGCAUUUGUUUGGUUUUGUGGCGCGCCAUCCAAAAUCACAACAAAAUUUUACGCAGCGUAAAAGCUAAGAUUUCUAGCUUCAAUUUUUUUCACGGCAAACAUGCACUCUUGAGUUUUGAAUGCAGUUAUAGUCGGUUGUUGUAGUUUUGUAAUUUCGAAACGAGGAUCCAAAUGCACGCUUACUUUUUUUUUGUCCAUUUGAUUUUCAAGAGAAAAGAUUCUUGUUAAUAUAUAAAGUUCGGCUAAAAAUAAGUAAUAUCUUAUCAAUAAUUCUUUCGAUCA
rnacentral:lncRNA from 1 species